AUUGAACGCUGGCGGCAGGCCUAACACAUGCAAGUCGAGCGGAUGAGUGGAGCUUGCUCCAUGAUUCAGCGGCGGACGGGUGAGUAAUGCCUAGGAAUCUGCCUGGUAGUGGGGGACAACGUUUCGAAAGGAACGCUAAUACCGCAUACGUCCUACGGGAGAAAGUGGGGGAUCUUCGGACCUCACGCUAUCAGAUGAGCCUAGGUCGGAUUAGCUAGUUGGUGAGGUAAAGGCUCACCAAGGCGACGAUCCGUAACUGGUCUGAGAGGAUGAUCAGUCACACUGGAACUGAGACACGGUCCAGACUCCUACGGGAGGCAGCAGUGGGGAAUAUUGGACAAUGGGCGAAAGCCUGAUCCAGCCAUGCCGCGUGUGUGAAGAAGGUCUUCGGAUUGUAAAGCACUUUAAGUUGGGUAGGAAGGGCAGUAAGUUAAUACCUUGCUGUUUUGACGUUACCAACCAGAAUAAGCACCG
rnacentral:rRNA from 1 species